UUUUUAGUAUAAGUAUGUUCCAUGUAAUAUUUGGGACAUAUUUAUACUAAAA
rfam:Pteropus alecto contig17401, whole genome shotgun sequence.